rnacentral:rRNA from 1 species
AGGAUGAACGCUGGCGGCGUGCCUAAGACAUGCAAGUCGAAUGUCCGCAAGGACAUGGCGAACGGGUGAGUAAUACCUAGGAACGUAUCUUUAGUUGAGGAUAUCCCAUCGAAAGAUGGUGCAAUACUCAAUGUGAUCGCAAGAUUAAAGUCGCAAGACGCUAAAGAAGCGGCCUGGGCACCAUCAGCUAGUUGGUAGGGUAAAAGCCUACCAAGGCUAUGACGGUUAGGGGUCCCGAGAGGGAAAACCCCCACACUGGAACUGCGACACGGUCCAGACUCCUACGGGAGGCAGCAGUUUGGAAUUUUGCACAAUGGGCGAAAGCCUGAUGCAGCGACGCCGCGUGGACGAUGAAGGCCUUGGGUCGUAAAGUCCUUUUGCUCGGGAACAAUUUUGAGCGUACCGAGAGAAUAAGAGGUUGCUAACUCUGUGCCAGCAGCCGC